rnacentral:rRNA from 1 species
GACGAACGCUGGCGGCGUGCUUAACACAUGCAAGUCGAACGAAGUGGCGAACGGGUGAGUAAUACGUGGGUAACCUGCCCUCCUCUUUGGGACAAGCGUUGGAAACGGUGUCUAAUACCUAAUAAAGGGGGAUGGGCUCGGGGUUUAUCGGCUGGUUGUGGGGGUGAUGGCCUACCAAGGCGGUGACGGGUAGCCGGGCUGAGAGGGUGACCGGCCACAGUGGGACUGAGAUCCGGCCCAGACUCCUACGGAGGGCAGCAGUGGGGGAUAUUGCACAAUGGGCGAAAGCCUGAUGCAGCGACGCCGCGGGAGGGAUGAAGGCUUUCGGGUUGUAAAGCUAUUGCGGUAUCGAAAGGGUAGGUGGAGAAGAAGCGCCGGCUAACUACGUGCCAGCAGCCGCGGUAAUAC